rnacentral:rRNA from 1 species
CAGAUUCCUACGGGAGGCAGCAGUGGGGAAUAUUGCACAAUGGGCGGAAGCCUGAUGCAGCAACGCCGCGUGCGGGAUGACGGCCUUCGGGUUGUAAACCGCUUUCGCCUGUGACGAAGCGUGAGUGACGGUAAUGGGUAAAGAAGCACCGGCUAACUACGUGCCAGCAGCCGCGGUGAUACGUAGGGUGCGAGCGUUGUCCGGAUUUAUUGGGCGUAAAGGGCUCGUAGGUGGUUGAUCGCGUCGGAAGUGUAAUCUUGGGGCUUAACCCUGAGCGUGCUUUCGAUACGGGUUGACUUGAGGAAGGUAGGGGAGAAUGGAAUUCCUGGUGGAGCGGUGGAAUGCGCAGAUAUCAGGAGGAACACCAGUGGCGAAGGCGGUUCUCUGGGCCUUUCCUGACGCUGAGGAGCGAAAGCGUGGGGAGCGAACAGGCUUAGAUACCCUGGUAGUCCACGCUGUAAACGGUGGGUACUAGGUGUGGGGUCCAUUCCACGGGUUCCGUGCCGUAGCUAACGCUUUAAGUACCCCGCCUGGGGAGUACGGCCGCAAGGCUAAAACUCAAAGGAAUUGACGGGGCCCCGCACAAGCGGCGGAGCAUGCGGAUUAAUUCGAUGCAACGCGUAGAACCUUACCUGGGUUUGACAUGGAUCGGGAGCGCUCAGAGAUGGGUGUGCCUCUUUUGGGGUCGGUUCACAGGUGGUGCAUGGCUGUCGUCAGCUCGUGUCGUGAGAUGUUGGGUUAAGUCCCGCAACGAGCGCAACCCUUGUUCACUGUUGCCAGCACGUUAUGGUGGGGACUCAGUGGAGACCGCCGGGGUCAACUCGGAGGAAGGUGGGGAUGACGUCAAGUCAUCAUGCCCCUUAUGUCCAGGGCUUCACGCAUGCUACAAUGGCUGGUACAGAGAGUGGCGAGCCUGUGAGGGUGAGCGAAUCUCGGAAAGCCGGUCUCAGUUCGGAUUGGGGUCUGCAACUCGACCUCAUGAAGUCGGAGUCGCUAGUAAUCGCAGAUCAGCAACGCUGCGGUGAAUACGUUCCCGGGCCUUGUACACACCGCC